UCCUUGUGUGAGUGUUGAAAGCUUGGUAAGCUUUUGUUGAACAAUGUUUAGAAACGAGGGUUGCUUGGGAUACCGAUUCCCAUGAGGUCUUCGUAAAAGGUAGGUGCUAUUGUAGGAUUAACGGAUCGAGGUCAUUGGGUUGAAUAUACCCUUUGAUUGCUUUUUGUUUCCUCUUUGUGUGUCUAUCUAUUUAUCUUGACUAGGUGCUUGUUUUAGGGAUUGUAAUUGGAGAUUUUAGGAUUUAAUACAUCCUUUAGUUGCCAAUUGUUCCUCUUCUUAUGUCUCUUCUUCUAUCCUUCUUGUUUUCCGCUGUUUAUUGUGAUUCUUCUUGUGAAAAUUACAUCACUCGUCUCUACCCCUUGCUCUUCAUCUAUUCAUGCCUCUACCGUAGCCUCUUGUUGCGGAUUGCUCAACGGGCUCAUUUACGAGAGCUACAGACCUGACGUCGUUGAAACGAGUGUUAACCAUCUGCGAACAGAAGAAGGAAGAAGAUUAGAUACUAAUUUGGAUCACCGUAUAUCAAUUGGAAUCAAUUCAUAGCACGAAAAUAGUAAAAAAAAAAGAUUUACUAAAGUCCUGUAACCUCUCGAAGAAAAGUACAGAAGUCUCAGUACCGUUCUGCAAGACUCUACUAGACUCGUUUUGGUAUAAUGAGAUCAACAAACCUAGGGCUCUGAUACAAACUUUGUCACGACCCAAACCAUCGUGAUUGACACCCACACUAACCCUCCGAUGGGAGAAUCAUUACUGCAACCCCUCUAGCCAAGUUAACGAACAAAAUAGACAUUUAAAGAUAGGGAAGCAGGUUUAAAUCCAGAGAUUAUAUAGAGUUCUCAUAAACUCUAAGGGGUCGUUUGGUUUGAAUAUGAGUUAUGUUGGGAUAAGUUAUGUUGGGAUUAGUUAUGAUGGGAUAAGUUGUCGUGGGAUUAUUUCUUAUUUAGUGUUUGGUUUGUUAUAUUCACAAUAAUAUAUAUUGAUAAAUUUUAAGAACAAGUUGUUUGUUUACAAAAUUACCCUUCACUUUAUUUAAACUUUUUAAAUAUUUCUUAGUGAGCUUUAGUUAUUCAUUUUUUAAAAUAAAACUUUUAUUUUAUUUAACUUAAAUAUUUUUGUUUAUGUAUUCCCAUGAUAAGUACCAUGUGUAUUUAAAAAUAUAACUUUUUUCUUAUUUAGCUUAAAAAUAGAACUUCCCUCUUAAGUUUAUUAAAGAGAAGAAAAUUUAUGAGAAAUCAAAAUAAAAUAAACAUAAGAAUUAGUCAAAUAAAUUCAUAAAUAAAAAUUAUAUUUAUAUAGUAUAAUUUUUUAAUAGAAAAAUAUGUAUAAUUGUAAAAAAUGAUGUAUAAAAAGGAUUUAAAGGGACAUAUUUGUCAUUUACCUAUUUUAUCUCGGGAUAAGUUAUCCCGGGAUUACUAUACCACCCAUGGGGAGGGAUAACUUAUCUCGGUACUAAUUAUUAAUCCCGGGAUAAGUUAUCCCGGACUUGCCAACCAAACAACAUGAUUUUUUUUUAUCCCAUCAUUAUUUCCUUAUCCCAUCACUAUUAUUUCUAAUCCCUCACACCAAACGAGCCCUAAAGGUUUGAAUAAUUAACUAACCAAACUAAUGCGAAAGUUUAACCCCUAUAACCUGAAAGUCAUUGUACCAAAACAUCUAAAAUGCAACAAGUCUAAGAAAAAUGGGUACAACCCCAAAAAAACAUAAGAACCAUCUAAAUAGUCUAAGUCCAAAAGAAAUGGACUAAACAAUAGGAAGGACUCCAUGGCAGCCUGAAAGAACUGGCUCACCCUUGAAAUCCGGUCUCGAUCACUAAUCUCCUAGCUGAGGUCUAUCAAUAGCUGCCUGAAGAUUUCCUGCAUAACAAAGAACGAGCAAGUGCAGUAUCAGUACACAACCACAGUGUACUGGUAGGAUCACACGGUUAUUCCAGUAAGCGAAACAUAUAUAAGAAGUCACAACAUAGUAAUCAUGACAUGUACAGAAUAUAUUUAAGAAUUGGUUAUCAUUUCAGGAGAAAUGUACAAUUCCACAUUCUCAAUAACAAGCACAUAUGACAAUUCAAUGGUCCUCUCAUGCAACCUAUACCCAAACUGUUAGUGUGUCGAAAUGUGACACCUAAUCCCAAUUAAUGUGUUGGAACGUGACACCCGCUCCAAUAUAUGUGUCAGAACGUGACACUCGAUCUUAGUUAGUGAGUCGAAACAUGACACCCACUUCAUUCAACAUAACCACAAUCACAUUCACACUUAUAAUGUACAUACUCGCAAUCAUACAAUCAAGUGUUGAAUCAUGGCAGACAUUUGUUCAUUCAUACACAAUUCAUUUGGUUUGACCAAUAGUGUUUCAUUCGCAUACAUACAUGCAUUACAAUGAAGCAAUUACUAACAUACAUCACACAAACAUGAAAUCAAACCAUCACCUACCUUGAAACCAAGCUUGAAUCCCCAUAAGUCACUUGAAUCUUCCCUUUCCAGAUUCUUUCUGCUUGUUCGUGGUCUAAAAAUAAUUAAUAUAGCGCAAGGAUCAAUAAUUUAAGGUCAAAUUACCCGGAUUAUAACAACUCAAUUACCCAAGACCAAAC
rnacentral:lncRNA from 1 species